AUCUCACCACUAUUCCACGCAUUGUAGUUGUUGUCAUCUUUCCCAAUCAGAUGUUUAUCACGGAAGUGUCCAAUGAGUUACACAGUGCUCUUGUUUAGGGGAAGGUAAUCGGCAUACAGAGUGAAUCAGUGGGUGCAGACUGUGGAAGUGAGGGACAUCAGCACUUGGAAUUUGUGUGGUGGUGUAAAGGAGGGAGAUCAGAAGAAGCAUGGCGUAAGGAACACAGCUCAUAUAAGAUUAUGCCUUCAAGCACUGAAAAGAAAGGAUAACUAUCCUUUCCUGGUCGACCUACUGAAGCCUCCAUACAGAUGAAGCUCUGUUCACUUCAUUUCAAAGCUCAGAAAUGUCUUGUCGAAAGCUAAUUGCAAUGUUUGUCAUUCCUAAACAAACAAUGUUUCUGAUCACGGGUCACGACCAACCAGAAACUGCUUAGCAGUCUGCUGUCAGCAUGCUUGUGCAAGAAUUGAUCUCGAAUAGAUCAACGCACGUAAUUAAGUCCUCCAGGCUGCGCGCACCGCCACAACCAUCACCAUCACAGGCUUCUUCAUCGAGCCCAGGCACAACUGCCACCGCAGUUGUAACUCAGGGAGGUGUUGUCGUCUUACCGCCCGGCGGCUGCCACACUUGAACUCAGAGCUGUAAACAACAUCGAGAAACUGAGAUGGUUUCCAACUUUCCAUCUCUUGUGGAUGCCUGUGGGAGGGAUCCAGAUGCGGCACAGGGGUGCCAUGGGGCUCGUAUCGCAUUCGUCGCUGGAGUUCGUCAUGGCAGACGCAGAAGUGCGCCUGACUGAAAAUGGGGACCUUGGUGAAGGAUGCACCAGCAGCCUGUCGCCACCAACUCAAUGUUUAAAGGAAGAAAGAUAAAGAUUUCUUUGGGCUUGCUUUUUUCCCUUUUUCAUUAAGAGAUCUAUGGGGUGGCUAGCUUUCGACCGUGCCAUCCGAUAAUUUUUGGUAAAACACUAAAACUCCAUUCUCAUUUUUUUUUUGUACUAGCCUUGUGCUUAUGUAGGGUGAGGUGGUGGUGGACCACUACAUUUCCAAACAACACUCAUUUUCAAACAACACCAUUAGCUAUUAAGUAUUUUGCUCGCUGCGUCAUCUUUGAAGCACAUCACAUUGAUA